CUGAGUUAAACUGAGCAUCUCUCUGCUUAACUGGAGGUCUCCGGCCUUCUAUCUGCGGCAGUGGAAGAUGUUAUGCCUAUUUGUAGGUGGAGUGAGGGAUGUGGAAAGAGGUGAAAAGCGGUGGAGAAAGGAGGGCGUCCUUUGGGGUGGGGGUGAGGCUCCCAGCAUCCCUCUGCCUGCUUCCCCCACCCCCAUCCAGGGCGCCUCCCCACCACCUCGUGCUGUUCCGCCCUGAGAAGAGCUCCAGUCCCUGUCCACGAUUUUCCCUGAGGAACAUGCACAUCAUCAUCAUCAAUGAGAAGGACAGAAAAUCUUCAGGGAAACCAAGCUGGUAACAGGCUCCAGGUGAAGCCUUUAACAGGAAAAAGUUGGGGUGAAAGAUGCUCGCAGGAUGG
rnacentral:lncRNA from 1 species